UCGGAUUGUAGUCUGCAAUCGACUACAUGAAGCUGGAAUCGCUAGUAAUCGCGAAUCAGAAUGUCGCGGUGAAUACGUUCCCGGGUCUUGUACACACCGCCCGUCACACCAUGGGAGCCGGAAACGCCCGAAGCCAGUGGCCUGACCGUAAGGAGGGAGCUGUCGAAGGCGGGUCCGGUGACCGGGGUGAAGUCGUAACAAGGUAUC
rnacentral:rRNA from 1 species